rnacentral:rRNA from 1 species
CAGUCGCCACGGGAAUACGAGGGGGGCAAGCGUUGUUCGGAAUUAUUGGGCGUAAAGGGUGCGUAGGCGGCUUGACAAGUCUUGUGUGAAAUCUAUGGGCUCAACCCAUAGUCUGCACGGGAAACUGUCGGGCUUGAGAAUGGGAGAGGUGAGUGGAAUUUCCGGUGUAGCGGUGAAAUGCGUAGAUAUCGGAAGGAACACCUGUGGCGAAAGCGGCUCACUGGACCAUUUCUGACGCUGAUGCACGAAAGCUAGGGGAGCAAACAGGAUUAGAUACCCCAGUAGUCCCUGUCUCUUAUAC